AACGAACGCUGGCGGCAGGCUUAACACAUGCAAGUCGAACGCCCCGCCAGUGGGUCGGCAGACUGGUGGGUAGCGCGUGGGAACGUACCUUUUUGUUCAGCACAACCUCGUGUAACUUGAGCUAUUACCGGAUAAGCCCUAACGGGGUAAGAUUUAUCGCCGAACGAUCGGCGCGCGUCAGAUUAGCUGGUUGGUGAGGUGAGUGCUCCCCAAGGCGACUAGCAGUAGCUGGUGUGAGAGGAAGAUCAGACACACUGGCACUGAGACACAGUCGAGACUCCUAGGGGAGGGAGGAGAGGGGAAUAUAGGAAAAUGGGGGCAGGGCUGAACAAGCCAGGCCGGGUGAGAGAUGAUGGCGGUAGGGAAGUGAAGCUGUUUUGUACGGGAAGAUAAUGACGGUACCGGAAGAAUAAGCACCGGCUAACUUCGUG
rnacentral:rRNA from 1 species